CUUGCCACGUUGCGGGCAACAGGAAGUCAAUCUGGCGGCUCUCUCCGUCGGGAUCGCCAGAGGAUCACUGAGAUUUGCCGCUCAGAUCCAGAAGAGGCGAUUUGGAGCUGGACGAGCGAUGGGAAAGACGGCGAUCGAUGAGACAUCGACGGAUGGGGAAUUCAAGCGCACCGAGUCAUCGUUUCGCAGCUGGAUUUCUAGCAAAGAAGGGUGUGAUAUUCCGGCCGUGGCCGAUAGGUACCAUCUCUACAUCUCGUAUGCGUGUCCCUGGGCUUCCCGGUGCUUCGCUACGCUCAAGCUCAAGGGCUUAGACCAUGCUAUUGGCGUCACGAGACAAUAGACGACGAUAUAGAGCGAAUAAAGAGGAAUGGGAAGCUCUAGAGCACCCUUCGCUGGAACUUUUCUCCGUGAAUUUACCUCUGUGUAGCUGGUAUAGUAUAUAUAUAACGAAAACUCAUGGAAGUCGAGACUCCAUAGUUGAAUUCUAGUC